CUUGGUACUGUGCCCAUUACCGGGGCCCAGGCCUUCCUCAGAAACCAGCUGUGCUUGGGAACAGGCAGCGCCCCUCCCCUGCGUGUGUCUCCCAGGCUUCCUCUGUCUCUAACCCUUACUGACCCGCCCUUUGUAUCUCAGGCCAGUUUUACCAGGAGGUGCUCUGGGGAUCUCCAGCAGCAUCAGAUGACGGCAGACGCACGCUGAGGGUUCAGGGCAAUGACCACUCUGCCACCAGAGAGCGCAGGCUGGAUUACCAGGAGGGGCCCCCGGGAGUGGAGAUUUCCUGCUGGUCUGUGGAGCUGUAGUUCUGAUGGAAGGAGCUGUGCCCACCCUGUACACUUGGCUUCCCCCUGCAACUGCAGGGCCGCUUCUGGGGCCUGGACCACCAUGGGGAGGAAGAGUCCCACUCAUUACAAAUAAAGAAAGGUGGUGUGAGCCUGGGA
rnacentral:sRNA from 1 species